rnacentral:miRNA from 1 species
CAGGCGCUUGGCGGUUACCGGU